rnacentral:rRNA from 1 species
CCUACGGGAGGCUGCAGUGGGGAAUAUUGCACAAUGGGCGCAAGCCUGAUGCAGCGACGCCGCGUGAGCGAUGAAGGCCUUCGGGUCGUAAAGCUCUGUCCUACGGGAAGAAUAAUGACGGUACCUUAGGAGGAAGCCCCGGCUAACUACGUGCCAGCAGCCGCGGCAAUCCGUAGGGGGGGAGCGUUAUCCGGAAUUACGGGGCGUGAGGGGAGCGUAGGUGGCCUUUUAAGUCAGAGGUGAAAGGCUACGGCUUAACCGUAGUUAGCAUUUGAAACUAGAAGGCUUGAGUGCAGGAGAGGAGAGUGGAGUUCCUAGUGUAGCGGUGAAAUGCGUAGAUAUUAGGAGGAACACCAGUGGCGAAGGCGACUCUCUGGACUGCAACUGACGCUGAGGCACGAAAGCGUGGGGAGCGAACAGGAUUAGAUACCCCAGUAGUC